rnacentral:snoRNA from 1 species
CUGACCCAUGAGGAGUUCCCUGGGGUAUCUGAAACAGGACAUUUUGAUUAAACCCGAAUGGAUCUCUGAGAUCUGU